AUUGAACGCUGGCGGCAUGCCUAACACAUGCAAGUCGAACGGUUUAUGGAGCUUGCUUCAUAGAUAGUGGCGGACGGGUGAGUAAUAUGUAGGAAUCUGCCUUGAGGAGGGGGAUAACUUGGGGAAACGCAAGCUAAUACCGCGUAAGUCGGAGACGAGAAAGCAGGGGACCGAAAGGCCUUGCGCCUUAAGAUGAGCCUACAUCGGAUUAGCUAGUUGGUGGGGUAAAGGCCUACCAAGGCGAUGAUCCGUAGCUGGUCUGAGAGGAUGACCAGCCACACUGGGACUGAGACACGGCCCAGACUCCUACGGGAGGCAGCAGUGGGGAAUAUUGGACAAUGGGGGAAACCCUGAUCCAGCAAUGCCGCGUGUGUGAAGAAGGCCUUCGGGUUGUAAAGCACUUUCAGUGGGGAAGAAGGAUGUAUGGUUAAUACCCAUGCAUUUUGACGUUAACCACAGAAGAAGCACCGGCUAACUCUGUGCCAGCCGCCGCCGUAA
rnacentral:rRNA from 1 species